GGCACGAACCGGAUUAGAUAUCCCGGGUAGUCCCAGCCGUAAACGAUGCUCGCUAGGUGUCUGGAAUGGUGCGACCGUUUCAGGUGCCGCAGGGAAGCCGUGAAGCGAGCCACCUGGGAAGUACGGCCGCAAGGCUGAAACUUAAAGGAAUUGGCGGGGGAGCACUACAACGGGUGGAGCCUGCGGUUUAAUUGGACUCAACGCCGGACAACUCACCGGGGGCGACAGCAAUAUGUAGGUCAAGCUAGAGACUUUACCUGGAUCGCUGAGAGGAGGUGCAUGGCCGUCGUCAGUUCGUACUGUGAAGCAUCCUGUUAAGUCAGGCAACGAGCGAGACCCGUGCCCACUGUUGCCAGCAUAUCCUUCGGGAUGAUGGGUACUCUGUGGGGACCGCCGAUGCUAAAUCGGAGGAAGGUGCGGGCUACGGUAGGUCAGUAUGCCCCGAAUCUCCCGGGCGACACGCGGGCUACAAUGGUUGGGACAAUGGGCUCCUACACUGAAAAGUGACGGUAAUCUCAUAAACCCAGCCGUAGUUCGAAUUGAGGGCUGAAACCCGCCCUCAUGAAGCUGGAAUCCGUAGUAAUCGCGUUUCAAUAUAGCGC
rnacentral:rRNA from 1 species